rnacentral:miRNA from 1 species
UUUGUGGUGUUUCAUGGCCAGG